rnacentral:rRNA from 1 species
GAUGAACGCUGGCGGCGUGCCUAAUACAUGCAAGUCGAGCGAACAGACGAGGAGCUUGCUCCUCUGACGUUAGCGGCGGACGGGUGAGUAACACGUGGAUAACCUACCUAUAAGACUGGGAUAACUUCGGGAAACCGGAGCUAAUACCGGAUAAUAUAUUGAACCGCAUGGUUCAAUAGUGAAAGACGGUUUUGCUGUCACUUAUAGAUGGAUCCGCGCCGCAUUAGCUAGUUGGUAAGGUAACGGCUUACCAAGGCAACGAUGCGUAGCCGACCUGAGAGGGUGAUUCGCCACACUUGAACUGGGACACGGUCCAGACUCCUUCGGGAGGCAGCAGUAGGGAAUCUUCCGCAAUGGGCGAAAGCCUGACGGAGCAACGCCGCGUGAGUGAUGAAGGUCUUCGGAUCGUAAAACUCUGUUAUUAGGGAAGAACAAAUGUGUAAGUAACUAUGCACGUCUUGACGGUACCUAAUCAGAAAGCCACGGCUAACUACGUG